UACGUAGGGGGCAAGCGUUUGUCCGGAAUCAUUGGGCGUAAAGGGCGCGUAGGUGGCCACUUCAAGCGUGCGGUGAAAGUCGGGGGCUCAACCCCUGAUCGGCCGUGCGAACUGGGGGGCUGGAGCACUGUAGAGGCAGGCGGAAUUCCGGGUGUGAGCGGUGGAAUGCGUAGAGAUCGGAAGGAACACCAGUGGCGAAGGCGGC
rnacentral:rRNA from 1 species